rnacentral:rRNA from 1 species
UAAAGUAAGAAAGAGCGUAUGGCGGAUGCCUAGGCACAGAGAGGCGAAGAAGGACGCAGCAAACAGCGAAAUGCGACGGUUAGCAGUAAGCAUGCAACGAUCCGUCGAUGUCCGAAUGGGGGAACCCACCUGGAGUAGAGACCAGGUAUCCUGAAGUGAAUAAAUAGCUUCAGAGAGGCGAGACUCAGGGAACUGAAACAUCUAAGUACCUGAAGGAAGAGAAAAUAAACGAAUGAUUCCCUAAGUAGCGGCGAGCGAAAGGGGAAGAGCCCAAACCGAUCUUAGGAUCGGGGUUGUAGGACUGUCGGCAAAGAGCAAGAAAUCAUUAUAGGCGAACGGAAUGGGAAGUCCGGCGAAACAGGGUGACAGCCCCGUAGCCGAAAUAGUGAAGAAGCACGAGACAGCACCUGAGUACGGCGGGACACGAGGAAUCCUGUCGGAAUCCACCAGGACCAUCUGGUAAGGCUAAAUACUCCUCUGUGACCGAUAGUGAACCAGUACCGUGAGGGAAAGGUGAAAAGAACCCCGGGAGGGGAGUGAAAUAGAACCUGAAACCAUAUGCUUACAAGAAGUUAGAGCCCGUUAAAGGGUGAUAGCGUGCCUUUUGUAGAAUGAACCGGCGAGUUACGAUAUGGAGCGAGGUUAAGCAGGAUAUGCGGAGCCGAAGCGAAAGCGAGUCUUAACAGGGCGAAAGUUGCAUGUCGUAGACCCGAAACCGAGUGAUCUAGCCAUGACCAGGUUGAAGUUGGGGUAAAACCCGAUGGAGGACCGAACCGACCCCCGUUGAAACGUUGGCGGAUGAGUUGUGGCUAGGGGUGAAAUUCCAAUCGAACUCGGAGAUAGCUGGUUCUCCCCGAAAUAGCUUUAGGGCUAGCGUCGAGGUAAAGUCGUGUGAAGGUAGAGCACUGAAUAUGUGAUGGCCCCAUCUCGGGGUACUGAACAUAAUCAAACUCCGAAUGUCACAAAGAUAUACUCGGCAGUCAGACAGUGGGUGAUAAGGUCCAUUGUCAAAAGGGAAACAGCCCAGACCAUCAGCUAAGGUCCCAAAAUAUAUACUAAGUGGAAAAGGAUGUGGAGAUGUCCAGACAACUAGGAGGUUGGCUCAGAAGCAGCCAUCCUUUAAAGAGUGCGUAACAGCUCACUAGUCGAAUGACUCUGCGCCGAUAAUUUACCGGGGCUAAGUAUAUUACCGAAGCUAUGGAUUUACGCGUAAGCGUGAGUGGUAGGGGAGCGUUCUAUGUGCGGAGAAGCGGUACCGUAAGGAGCCGUGGAGCGCAUAGAAGAGAGAAUGCCGGUGUGAGUAGCGAAACGUGGGUGAGAAUCCCACGCACCGAAAACCCAAGGUUUCCAGAGGAAGGUUCGUCCGCUCUGGGUAAGUCGGGACCUAAGGCGAGGCCGAGAGGCGUAGUCGAUGGACAACAGGUAGAGAUUCCUGUACUUACGGUAUGAAUGAUGGAGUGACGGAGAAGGCUAGCGGAUCCUGCUGAUGGAAAUGCAGGUGCAAGCGAGGUAGCCGACAGCCAGGCAAAUCCGGCUGUCGAAAGGCAAAGGCGUGAGGCGUAUGGAAAGCUGCGGCAAGUACAGAAGUCCGUGAAGCCAGCUUCCAAGAAAAGCUUCUAGUGAUAAUCAUACAGUAACCCGUACCGAAAAUGGACACACAUGGGUGAGGAGAGAAUCCUAAGGUGAGCGAGAGAACUAUAGCUAAGGAACUCUGCAAAAUGACUCCGUAACUUAGGGAUAAGGAGUGCUCAUAGAGAUAUGAGCCGCAGUGAAACGGCCCAAGCGACUGUUUACCAAAAACACAGCUCUAUGCUAAGUCGAAAGACGACGUAUAUGGGGUGACGCCUGCCCGGUGCUGGAAGGUUAAGAGGAUGUGUCAGCGCAAGCGAAGCAUUGAAUUGAAGCCCCAGUAAACGGCGGCCGUAACUAUAACGGUCCUAAGGUAGCGAAAUUCCUUGUCAGGUAAGUUCUGACCCGCACGAAAGGCGUAACGAUUUGGGCGCUGUCUCAGCUGUAGACUCGGUGAAGUCUUAGUACCUGUGAAGAUGCAGGUUACCCGCGACUAGACGGAAAGACCCCAUGGAGCUUUACUGUAGCUUGAUAUUGGACUUUGAUGCAAGAUGUACAGGAUAGGUAGGAGACUGAGAGACAUGCACGCCAGUGUGUGAGGAGUCAAUGUUGGGAUACUACUCUUCUUGUAUUGGAGUUCUAACCGGAUGCCAUGGAACUGGCAACGGGACAGUGUCAGGUGGGCAGUUUGACUGGGGCGGUCGCCUCCCAAAGAGUAA